rnacentral:lncRNA from 1 species
UCCCCUAACUCAUGUCGAGAUGUAGAAACUACAAAAGAGAAGCCACGAUUUUUCCGCUAUCAUGGUUACCUUUUUUUUUUUUUGAUACAAAUAGGUGGCCACACCAGUCUAGUGCGAAAGCAGUCCAAAAGAUCCAAAUACACAAAGUCCCACAAGAUCAAUAGACAAUUCUCACCUUGUCUCCAAAUCCAAUCAUCGAAGUGCUCCGCAAUAUAUGCCGCC